UCUCUGUUAGUAUAUCGGUUAGUACACGCGCUUGUCAUUUGUACCGAUCGCGCGAAAGCGGGGUUCGACUCCCCGACAGAGAG